GACGAACGCUGGCGGCGUGCCUAAUACAUGCAAGUCGAGCGAGCGGAACUAACAGAUUUACUUCGGUAAUGACGUUAGGAAAGCGAGCGGCGGAUGGGUGAGUAACACGUGGGGAACCUGCCCCAUAGUCUGGGAUACCACUUGGAAACAGGUGCUAAUACCGGAUAAGAAAGCAGAUCGCAUGAUCAGCUUUUAAAAGGCGGCGUAAGCUGUCGCUAUGGGAUGGCCCCGCGGUGCAUUAGCUAGUUGGUAAGGUAAAGGCUUACCAAGGCGAUGAUGCAUAGCCGAGUUGAGAGACUGAUCGGCCACAUUGGGACUGAGACACGGCCCAAACUCCUACGGGAGGCAGCAGUAGGGAAUCUUCCACAAUGGACGCAAGUCUGAUGGAGCAACGCCGCGUGAGUGAAGAAGGUUUUCGGAUCGUAAAGCUCUGUUGUUGGUGAAGAAGGAUAGAGGUAGUAACUGGCCUUUAUUUGACGGUAAUCAACCAGAAAAUCACGGCUAACUACGU
rnacentral:rRNA from 1 species